UGCUUUCUCUUUCCCACGAAGCAACCUUUUCCUCGCUCCUCGUACGCAACAUCCCUGACGAAACCGCCGCCUCCGCCUCCUCCAUGUAACCGGCCGCACGAGCGUCGCCAGCACAAGUGGAACUGGCUCGGCUCUCUUACGCAGUCACACCAACGUCGUCGUCUCGAGGGAGGAGUGGGUGGGACCGUGGGAGGAGAAGGCGGCGGCGGCGGUUUUGAUCUUCGUGCUCUGCCUCCGCGUGUGAGGCAGCGGAUCGAUCCGGCCGAACUAGCUGCUAGAAGGAUGGGUCGCCAUCGUCCCCAACCCCAUGGCUCACCACCCGCCUCAGCUCACUCUCUGUCGCCGCCGACCGCAUGAUCUGGUCUGCGCGCGGGGAGGAGUUGUGCUUGCCACCGGGACAGACGGAUCCAGGCUUCCGUCGAGCUCACGCGUCACCAUCGCCGCCAGGAGGCACAAACGGAUGAAGACGUCGAGCGCCACCAUCCGCGCCGCUUCUUCUCAACGCCUCUCUUGCGUGUGCGCAGCUUUGAAAGGAGGUGACUAGGUUGGAGCGGACUAUGACAAGGCAUACGAGGGGUUGGAGCAGGACUGCAAGACCAGGUGAGGACAAGCGUUGUUUCAUAUCCACCUAAAUCAUCCCAUGGUUUGCAAGGUCUGCUUCUAUGCAAAAAGUUCUUCCAGUGAGCACCCUAGCCAAUUAAUUACAGUUAAUCCUUUAUGUCUGAUUUAUUAUUAGUUGAUUACUUGCUUCUAUGCGGUGAAUAAAUGAGUAAGAAGUUUUAGUUGAUAGAGGCAUAGCCUUCCUGAAUAUCUUAAUUCUAACACUGGUUUCAUGCAAUUUUGGAACUGGAUAGUUAUUCAGUCUGAUUUGUUCGUGCAGUCCAUGGUAUCCCAUCUGCAAGCUACACCUUGUGCAGAUUUGGCUACCACAUAAUGUGGUGGUGUUUCACUUCGCUCAGUCAAGGUUUCAGUCAAAAUUUGAAUUAAACAUUUUCUUCCAAUACAGAAUGUGUUGAUUUGUCUUCUCACAAAAAAAAAAAAGAUUGUGUUAAUUGUCCUAACCUUUAUGUUAUGGAAAUAUUCUCAUCACAUGUUUACUGGUUCUAUUGGGCAUGCAGUGUAAAAACUGUCCCCAUCAUUAAUCUUUUGAGAAAUGUAUGUCACACGAGUCAUCAGCCACACUAACAUAAUUAAAUUCUUUGACCUUGUGUAGUCUACGUUCAAGAAGACGCUUCCAGAACAAAGGAAAAUGAUGAAUGGCAAAUUUAUACUGAUACUUCUCUGGGCAAAUGGUCUUUCCCCCUGAAGUGAUAAUACAAGCUGAUAAUCUGAUGUUAAACUGAUGGUUGUAUUAUUUGUAGCAAUUCUUCAAAUUUUGAUGUUUAUGUGUUUGUUUGGACGCGCAGGUGCAAAUGAUUUUAGCUAUUAGGUUUAGAUUGUAGGUAUUGUUGGAAAAUAAUUCUUGGGUAUGUCUAUAUGCCUGUAUGUACGUUCUCAUUUGAAACAAAUAUACUUCAUUACCUAUUAUUUUUCCUCCUAUUUAAAGAUCACAAUGCAUGUCUCCAUCCGAUUAUUCCCUCCUUCAUUAACUUGAAGUAUUGCUAACUAGAUUUUGUGUGUGCAGGAGGUUAGCCGCCUUAUGAUCAAACCUGGCUCUGUUCAACAGUGUCCGGUAUGCACUUCUUGGCUUCUCUCUGUUUCUAUAUCUGUUUUUUUUGUUGUUUCAAUUCAGAUCAAACCAAUAGCCUUUGCAUACAAGUUGGAGAGGUUAUUUCUCGCGUGGAGGUCUUUUCCCUUAAGGCACUACAUUUUUUCAGUGCCCCAAGCACUUUCCUCAUGUUUGCGGGUUGUGACCAGGAAAUUUUACACCACCGAGAUUAUGAUUAGGGCAGAGCAGCAUCCGGUGGCAAGGUUGGAAAAGAGAAGGAGAGAGAUCCGUGAUUGGGUAAUGACCCGCUGUGGUUGUGGCCAAGGAGCCAGCUCGGAUUUGUUUGCCGGUGCGUGUGUCGGUUGAUUUGGCCGAGAAAGAUGCGGCGGGCAAAGCAGCAGGGAAGAGGAUCUGCCGCUUGACCUUCCCGGCUCGAUCUGAUCCUUAGGAGAGAAGGCAUAGGAGGGAAGGGAAGAUGGAUGAGGUUGUUUUGGCAGGGAUGAAAAGGUGUGAAAAAAGGAUUUCUUCUCUACUAAGAGGUGCACCGACACAACCAGCGCCCACACACGCGCAGCAGCAGCUGAUGAUACUCGGGACACCAAUUGUAAAUGGCCCAUGUGCAGCCAUCUCACAACUCGCAGGAAGCAGGAUAUUGGGCCUUGGUGAUCUAGGGGUGCAAAGUAUUGACAUUGCUAUAGGGAAGCUGGAUUUAUAUGUUGCUGCUACUGGAAUAAAUCCUCAGAAGGUAUGCUUUUGUUGUUCCUAAGGAAACUGUUAGACUUACCUUGUUCUCCAUCUUCCAUUUUUUACAUCUAUAUUUUCAUAUUUGACAUCUCUAAUUUCAAAUAACUAUAAUUUGGUAUUUGACCUACAUGGAUUUUAUUGACAAACAAAAAAUAAAGUUUUGCUACUUAAUCUGAUUGUGCCAAUCAACCUUUUCUCAUAAUAAUUCAGGGAGAUAAAAGUUCUUUUAGAAUGUUACCACUGAACCCAGAUAAUGAUGUUUGCCAAACUGAAGCUUCAAAUACGAGACAAUGAUCACGUUUGUGUUGCGUAACCUUACAACGCUGAUUUCUUAGAUGUUAUGAAGUUUCAAAGUGUUCUACUGCUACCUACUCACUUUGUUUCUUUUGUAUAAGGCAUAUUUUGAUUUGUUGAAAUAAUGCUUUAAAUAAUAAAUACUCUAUCAAUAGGUGGUGCAUGUGAAUAAGUUAAUAUUGGAUUCAUUUCUUUGGGGAGCUAAGCCAUGUAUUUGGAAUUUCAGUAACGGAGUUAGUUUGUGUAAAAUAGAUAAAUGUCUGCUAGCUUCUUAGGCAUUUAAAAAAAAACGAAUCCCUUGCUACAUAUACCAGGGUGUUUAUAUCCAGGUACAGCCUUGGCUUUGUUUGUAAAGAAGCAAGUAGACAUUCUACUUUUGUGUAAGCUGAAUAUAUGCUUAUCGGUUUCCAUCUAAUGGCAGCUCUCUCUCCCUUUUCCAUUUAUCUAUUUUUGUAGAUGGUAGAGCAACCUUAUUAUACAUACACACUGAAAUUGAUUCUGUUGAAAGCUUAUUCACAUUUUCUUUCGUUCUUA